UUUGCUCACAUAUUAAUUUAAGGUUGAAGCCAGAGAAGAGACCAAAUAUACAUUACCCUGGUCUAGUCUGUCAACUAACUGCUGCUUAUAAAACUGGCAAAACAUUUGCUGCAGUUCUUCUAUCACUAUGGAAGCCAAUCACAGAGGCACAAGGCUCAAACCCUGUUGGUUGCCUUCUAGUCGACUUUGACCUUUGUGGUGAAAAUCGGACUUGUACCCAGGAUGCAUUUGCUCCCUCAUUUCCAAGCUCUGCCUCCAUCAGGCCACAAGACCACAGCCAGGGACGCAGGCGCUCCCAGCAUUUGGUGCCUAGACAGGGCCCUGAAAGGAAGGCUUCCCCCAGCAGAGUGACCCUGGACAAGGUGGGCUGUUUGGCCAACAUCCCUAGAAAAGGAGCUCCGGUCGUCAAGGGAAUACGCUAACAAGAACAUGCAGGAGAACCAGUCUGGGUUCCUGAGAUGAACAUCUGCACCUGUCAGCAUACUGACCAGAGGGAUAGAGACCCUGAGC